UGGGGAAUAUUGCACAAUGGGCGCAAGCCUGAUGCAGCCAUGCCGCGUGUAUGAAGAAGGCCUUCGGGUUGUAAAGUACUUUCAGCGGGGAGGAAGGCGAUAAGGUUAAUAACCUUGUCGAUUGACGUUACCCGCAGAAGAAGCACCGGCUAACUCCGUGCCAGCAGCCGCGGUAAUACGGAGGGUGCAAGCGUUAAUCGGAAUUACUGGGCGUAAAGCGCACGCAGGCGGUCUGUCAAGUCGGAUGUGAAAUCCCCGGGCUCAACCUGGGAACUGCAUUCGAAACUGGCAGGCUAGAGUCUUGUAGAGGGGGGUAGAAUUCCAGGUGUAGCGGUGAAAUGCGUAGAGAUCUGGAGGAAUACCGGUGGCGAAGGCGGCCCCCGGGACAAAGACUGACGCUCAGGUGCGAAAGCGUGGGGCGCAAACA
rnacentral:rRNA from 1 species